GCGGAUGUGGCGGAAUUGGCAGACGCGCUAGAUUCAGGUUCUAGUGCCGGCAACGGCGUGGAGGUUCAAGUCCUCUCAUCCGCACCA
rnacentral:tRNA from 1 species